ACAGUCUGGCAGGGGAGACAUCUUGAGCAGGAAGGAGGUUUUCUCAGGGUGAGGCUCAUCCAUCGCACCCUGGGUGUGCUGACCCCUGCGAUUUCCCCAAAUGUGGGAAACUCAACUGCAGAAUUUGUGGCAC
rnacentral:snRNA from 1 species